CUGCCAUCUUGGGUGUGGCACUUUGGUUCUAUUUCCGUUGUGUCCCCAAGGGCCGCCAUCGUACUUGUGGUCUGUAGGGGGGCGGAACAUCUUCCCCUGCUCUGUGUAGGCGCUGAGAGGCGGGGCCGAAGGGGACGUGCGCCACUACCGCUAUCGCUGACACCCAAGCUGUGUCCGGUUUUGCUGCUAGGAAUGCUGGCUAUUAUGGAACUACCUCCUAUUAAUGUGGCAAACUCUGUGACUGACCAUAUGAAACACAUGGGGAUAGUCUCUUUCCUGAAGCAAACCUUUCCCAGGGGUUAGAGGCAUCACCCACAGGACUGGAUAAGGCUGCAGCAAUGGUUACAUACUUAAGAAGAAGAAGAAGUCUCAGAGAGAGGAGCACAUGACCAGCUGUUAUCUUUAUGACUAUUUAGUUUGGACACAGUCUGUUGCUCUUCUGCUCGAUAGAUGUUCUCACGGUCCAGUCUGCAGAUCAAGCUGUCAGGGCAGCAUGUGGAAAACUUGGCUUAAAACACCCAGGAUCAUGCCACGAGAAAAAGAAGGAAUAAAAGUGGAUUUCUUGUUUUGAGUUAGCAUAAAAAAGUUCUUAUAUAGAGACAUAGUCUCUUUUUGUUCUUCUAUAUAGCAGUUGCAGAUGGCACCACUAUUCUUUGUUCAGUA